GUGUGUUCUUGGCUUGCCCUUCUGCUCAGAACUCUGCAAGUCCCUGAUGGGUAGACAGUUCCUUUGAAUCCUGCAGGUUUAAUGUCUCACUGAAGAUGAACGUCACAUUAUCUAUCCCAAGCUCAGAUGGGGCAGAGACUGUCGGUCUGCUCAUCAAACCUCUCUGUGCCCCCGAAGGACCCUAAGCGGAGCAACAGUCAGACACAAGAGACUCACACGUGAAAGCUCUGAAACGGGUGGCGCUUCCUGCUUCGGGGAGAGACCGCAGACGGUGUGUCCCACGCCCGGCACCUGGCAGGCAUUCGGUCCAUCCAGGCCUUUCCUCCUCCUCCGACUGCAUGCAAGGGUAGGCCGGGCACCGCACAGUAAAUCUCCCCCGAGCUGCUCCCCAGGCGGGGUUGGUCCUUGAAGUCGGGCUUCACUGACUUCCGGGCCCAAGGACGAGGGCAUGAGCUGAGAGCAAAGCCAGCGCCUCCGUCUGACCCACAGAGGAUUAGGGGGUGGACUGGAGACCAGGAGUCAGCGGCGCCCUGGCCGGAGACAGGGCCUGCAAGAGCGGGACAUCCACCGAGCCUUCGCCGCGCAAGAUGCAUUCGGUGCAACUGAAACCAAGAUCAGGAAGAAAGGCGCUUGUAAAACUUGAAAAUAUCUUGUCACCUCCUUGCUU
rnacentral:lncRNA from 1 species